AGAACGAACGCUGGCGGCAUGCCUAACACAUGCAAGUCGAACGAGACCUUCGGGUCUAGUGGCGCACGGGUGCGUAACGCGUGGGAACCUGCCUUUAGGUUCGGAAUAACUCAGAGAAAUUUGAGCUAAUACCGGAUAAUGUCUUCGGACCAAAGAUUUAUCGCCUUUAGAUGGGCCCGCGUAGGAUUAGCUUGUUGGUGGGUAAUGGCCUACCAAGGCGACGAUCCUUAGCUGGUCUGAGAGGAUGAUCAGCCACACUGGGACUGAGACACGGCCCAGACUCCUACGGGAGGCAGCAGUGGGGAAUAUUGGACAAUGGGCGAAAGCCUGAUCCAGCAAUGCCGCGUGAGGUGAUGAAGGUCCGUUAGGGUUACGUAAGCGUUCGUUUUACCCGGGAUACGAUAAGUCGAACCGUACGUAACCGGGAGAAGUAAGCCUACCGGCUAACCGUCCGCGACCAGCAGGCC
rnacentral:rRNA from 1 species